UACGGGGGGAGCAAGCGUUGUUCGGAUUUACUGGGCGUAAAGGGCGCGUAGGCGGUCGUGACAAGUCACUUGUGAAAUCUCCGGGCUUAACUCGGAACGGUCAAGUGAUACUGUCGGACUAGAGUACGGAAGGGGCAGCUGGAAUUCUCGGUGUAGCGGUGAAAUGCGUAGAUAUCGAGAGGAACACCUGCGGCGAAGGCGGGUUGCUGGGCUGAUACUGACGCUGAGGCGCGAAAGCCAGGGGAGCGAACGGG
rnacentral:rRNA from 1 species